rnacentral:rRNA from 1 species
AUUGAACGCUGGCGGCAUGCCUUACACAUGCAAGUCGAACGGUAACGGGCCUUCGGGUGCCGACGAGUGGCGAACGGGUGAGUAAUGUAUCGGAACGUACCUUUCAGUGGGGGAUAACGUAGCGAAAGUUACGCUAAUACCGCAUAUUCUGUGAGCGGGAAAGCAGGGGAUCGCAAGACCUUGCGCUGAUUGAGCGGCCGAUAUCAGAUUAGCUAGUUGGUGAGGUAAAGGCUCACCAAGGCGACGAUCUGUAGCGGGUCUGAGAGGAUGAUCCGCCACACUGGAACUGGGACACGGUCCAGACUCCUACGGGAGGCAGCAGUGGGGAAUUUUGGACAAUGGGGGCAACCCUGAUCCAGCCAUGCCGCGUGAGUGAAGAAGGCCUUCGGGUUGUAAAGCUCUUUCGGCCGGGAAGAAAUCGUAUCAGCUAAUACCUGGUGCGGAUGACGGUACCGGCAUAAGAAGCACCGGCUAACUACGUGCCAGCAGCCGCCGUAACAC